rnacentral:misc_RNA from 1 species
AACGCACGAGACCUGCGGACCUGCGGAGGGAUCAUUAUCAAUUUACAGCGGACUUCGGUCCUGUCUGCACCCUUGUCUUUUGCGUACUAUAUGUUUCCUCGGUGGGCUUGCCUGCCGAUAGGACACUUAUAAACUCUUUUGUAAUUGCAAUCAGCGUCAGAAAACUAUAAUAGUUACAACUUUCAGCAAUGGAUCUCU